AGCCAUGCGUUGAUCACAAAGCAAACUAUUCUUUCGCCUUUUACUAAAGAAUAUUGUGUGCUUGUCGUUUUAAAUGGCAUACGUCUAUUUUUGGAGGGGCGCAACUCUGUCGGUGCCC